GAUGAACGCUGGCGGCGUGCUUAACACAUGCAAGUCGAACGAAGCACUUGAAACAGAUUCUUCGGAAGAAGUUUCCUGUGACUGAGUGGCGGACGGGUGAGUAACGCGUGGGUAACCUGCCUCAUACAGGGGGAUAACAGUUAGAAAUGGCUGCUAAUACCGCAUAAGCGCACGGCAUCGCAUGAUGCAGUGUGAAAAACUCCGGUGGUAUGAGAUGGACCCGCGUUGGAUUAGCUAGUUGGCAGGGUAACGGCAUACCAAGGCGACGAUCCAUAGCCGGCCUGAGAGGGUGGACGGCCACAUUGGGACUGAGACACGGCCCAGACUCCUACGGGAGGCAGCAGUGGGGAAUAUUGCACAAUGGGGGAAACCCUGAUGCAGCGACGCCGCGUGAGCGAAGAAGUAUUUCGGUAUGUAAAGCUCUAUCAGCAGGGAAGAAAAUGACGGUACCUGACUAAGAAGCCCCGGCUAACUACGUGCCAGCAGCCGCCGUAACAC
rnacentral:rRNA from 1 species